rnacentral:rRNA from 1 species
AGGAUGAACGCUGGCGGCGUGCUUAACACAUGCAAGUCGAACGGGAUCCCAGGAGCUUGCUCCUGGGUGAGAGUGGCGAACGGGUGAGUAAUGCGUGACCGACCUGCCCCAUACACCGGAAUAGCUCCUGGAAACGGGUGGUAAUGCCGGAUGCUCCAGUUGACCGCAUGGUCCUCUGGGAAAGCUUUUGCGGUAUGGGAUGGGGUCGCGUCCUAUCAGCUUGAUGGCGGGGUAACGGCCCACCAUGGCUUCGACGGGUAGCCGGCCUGAGAGGGCGACCGGCCACAUUGGGACUGAGAUACGGCCCAGACUCCUACGGGAGGCAGCAGUGGGGAAUAUUGCACAAUGGGCGCAAGCCUGAUGCAGCGACGCCGCGUGCGGGAUGACGGCCUUCGGGUUGUAAACCGCUUUUGACUGGGAGCAAGCCCUUCGGGGUGAGUGUACCUUUCGAAUAAGCACCGGCUAACUACGUGCCAGCAGCCGCGGUAAUACGUAGGGUGCAAGCGUUAUCCG